AGUGCGAGGGCAUAUAGUCCUCGCUUUUGUACACCGUAAGGUGGUGUACGAAUAAGGGCUGGGCAAGACCGGUGCCAGCCGCCGCGGUAAUACCGGCAGCCCGAGUGAUGGCCGCUAUUAUUGGGCCUAAAGCGUCCGUAGCCUGCCAGACCGGUCCGUCGGGAAAUCUGCUCGCCUAACGAGCAGGCGUCCGGCGGAAACCGCCUGGCUUGGGACCGGAAGACCUGAGGGGUACGUCUGGGGUAGGAGUGAAAUCCCGUAAUCCUGGACGGACCACCGAUGGCGAAAGCACCUCGGGAAGACGGACCCGACGGUGAGGGACGAAAGCUAGGGUCACGAACCGGAUUAGAUACCCGGGUAGUCCUAGCUGUAAACGAUGCUCGCUAAGUGUGGCACACGCUACGAGCCUGUGCUUCGCUGCAGGGAAGGCGUAA
rnacentral:rRNA from 1 species